rnacentral:rRNA from 1 species
UCGAACGAUGAUGGGGAGCUUGCUCCCUGGAUUAGUGGCGAACGGGUGAGUAACACGUGAGCAACCUGCCCCUAACUCUGGGAUAACGCUUCGAAAGGAGUGCUAAUACCGGAUACCAGCUAGGAGGACAUCCUCUUGGCUUGAAAGUUUUCGGUUAGGGAUGGACUCGCGGCCUAUCAGCUAGUUGGUGAGGUAAAAGCUCACCAAGGCGACGACGGGUAUCCGGCCUGAGAGGGCGACCGGACACACUGGGACUGAGACACGGCCCAGACUCC